CUCAUGUCUUCUCUCUCUCUCACAUCCUCUCCACAUACGCAUGCAAGAAGGAGAAAAAGAAAGAGGCAUCCUUCUUUCUUACAUGCCAAGAGAGAGAAAUUGUUCUCUAUCUUCUUCCUUGCAUCUGGACCAAAAGUUGGUUCGAGUUUGAGGGAUGAAUCUUAGAUUUUGUAUGCUGAUUUUUUUUGAGAAAAAAGAUUAAAAUCAAUGGAGCAUCCUAGACCAUUCUUGUGUGGAUACUUGUAGAGGUCGG
rnacentral:lncRNA from 1 species